rnacentral:rRNA from 1 species
CCUACGGGAGGCAGCAGUGGGGAAUAUUGCACAAUGGGGGAAACCCUGAUGCAGCGACGCCGCGUGAGCGAUGAAGUAUUUCGGUAUGUAAAGCUCUAUCAGCAGGGAAGAAAAUGACGGUACCUGACUAAGAAGCCCCGGCUAACUACGUGCCAGCAGCCGCGGUAAUACGUAGGGGGCAAGCGUUAUCCGGAUUUACUGGGUGUAAAGGGAGCGUAGACGGUCGUGCAAGCCAGAUGUGAAAUCCCGGGGCUCAACCCCGGGACUGCAUUUGAAACUGUAAGGCUAGAGUGUAGGAGAGGCAGGCGGAAUUCCUAGUGUAGCGGUGAAAUGCGUAGAUAUUAGGAGGAACACCAGUGGCGAAGGCGGCCUUCUGGACGAUGACUGACGUUGAGGCUCGAAAGCGUGGGGAGCAAACAGGAUUAGAUACCCCUGUAGUC